rnacentral:sRNA from 1 species
GUCCUUUUAAACCAUUAAACUUGUGUCCACUUAAACUAAUACUAUCUAUGUUAUUGAGAUCCAUUGAAAUUUUGCCGAAUGCUUGAACCGCAUCUACAUGAAAAUGUGCCUUAGGAUAAUUUUUUAUAACUUUAGCCAUUUGUGGAAUAGGCUGU